GGGUAGCUUCGGGAGCGGCGACGACAGUGGUGCGAUGGUUGUGUCAGCUCGUGUCGUGNGAGUGUGGGUUAAGUCCCGGCAACGAGCGCAACCCCACUUUCUAGUUUGCCAUCAUUCAUUGGGGCACUCUAGCGAGACUGCCGGUGCAAACCGGAGAAGGUGGGGAUGACGUCAAAUCAUCAUGCCCCUUAUGAUUUGGGCUACACACGUGCUACAAUGGAUGGUACAAAGGGCCGCAAAACCGCGAGGUCAAGCAAAUCCCAUAAAACCAUUCUCAGUUCGGAUUGUAGUCUGCAACUCGACUACAUGAAGCUGGAAUCGCUAGUAAUCGUAGAUCAGCAUGCUACGGUGAAUACGUUCCCGGGUCUUGUACACACCGCCCGUCACACCACGAGAGUUUGUAACACCCGAAGCCGGUGGAGUAACCUUUUAGGAGCUAGCCGUCGAAGGUGGGACAGAUGAUUGGGGUGAAGUCGGAACAAGGUAGCCGUAUCGGGAGGUGCGGCUGGAUCACCUCCAGUCGACGCGGCCG
rnacentral:rRNA from 1 species